CACGGGGGGAGCAAGCGUUGUUCGGAAUCACUGGGCGUAAAGGGCGUGUAGGCGGUCGAGUAAGUGGGAUGUGAAAUGCCUCGGCUUACCCGGGGACCGGUAUCCCAAACUGCUUGGCUUGAGUAUGGGAGAGGAUGAGGGGAAUUCCUGGUGUAGCGGUGAAAUGCGUAGAUAUCAGGAGGAACACCGUGGCGAAAGCGCUCAUCUGGCCCAAUACUGACGCUGAGGCGCGAAAGCUAGGGGAGCAAACGGG
rnacentral:rRNA from 1 species